AACUCCGGGGAACGGGGCUAUACCGGAGGCUUGAUGAACCGCGCGGUUCAAUUAUAAAAGGUGGCUUUUAGGUACCACUUACAGAUGGGGCCGCGGCGCAAUAGCUAGUUGGGGAGGGAACGGCUCACCAAGGGAACGAUGCGUAGCCGACCUGAGAGGGUGAUCGGCCACACUGGGACUGAGACACGGGCCAGACUCCUACGGGAGGGAGCAGUAGGGAAUCUUCCGCAAUGGACGAAAGUCUGACGGAGCAACGCCGCGUGAGUGAUGAAGGGUUUCGGAUCGUAAAACUCUGUUGUUAGGGAAGAACCAGUACCGUUCGAAUAGGGCGGUACCUUGACGGUACCUAACCAGAAAGCCACGGCUAACUACGUGCCAGCAGCCGCGGUAAUACGUAGGUGGCAAGCGUUGUCCGGAAUUAUUGGGCGUAAAGCGCGCGCAGGCGGUUUCUUAAGUCUGAUGUGAAAGCCCCCGGCUCACCCGUGGGAGGGUCAUUGGAAACUGGGGAACUUGAGUGCAGAAGGAGAGAGAGUGGAGUUCCACGUGUAGCGGUGAGAUGCGUAGAGAUGUGGAGGAACACCAGUGGCGGAGGGCGGACUUUUCUGGUCUGUAGCUGACGCUGAGGCGCGAAAGCGUGGGGGAGCAAACAGGAUUAGAUACCCUGGUAGUCCACGCCGUAAACGAUGAGUGCUAGGUGUUAGAGGGGUUUCCGCCCUUUAAUGCUGCAGCAGACGCAUUAAGCACUCGCCUGGGGGAGUACGGUCGCAAGACUGAAACUCAAGGAAUUUGACGGGGGCCGGCGUGGUAUUAUUAGAAGCAACGCGAACAACCUCACCUGGUCUCGACAUCCUAUGACAACCCUAGAGAUAGGGUUUCCCUUUGGGGGGCGGAGUGCCAGUUGGUCCAUGGUGGUCGUCAGCUCGUUUCGUGAGAUGUUGGGUUAAUUCCCGCAACGAGCGCAACCUUUGUUCUUAGUGCCCACCAUUCAGUUGGCCAUUCUAAGGUGACGGCCGGUGCCAAACCGGAGGAAGGUGGGGAGGACGUCAAUUCUUCAUCCCCCUUAUGCCCUGGGCUCCCCACGUGUUCCAUUGGGCAGACCAAAGGGCAGCGAAGCCGGGAGGCUAAGCCAUUCCCACAAAUCUGUUUUCAGUUCGGAUCGCAGUUUGCAAUUCGAUUCCGUGAAGCUGGAAUCGUUGGUAAUCGCGGAUCACCAUGCCGCGGGGAAUACGUUCCCGGCCCUUGUCCACCCCCCCCGUCCCACCACGAGAGUUGGUACCACCGGAGGUCGGUGAGGUACCCUUUUGGAGCCAGCCGCCGAAGGUGGGACAGAUGAUUGGGGUUAAGUCCUAAU
rnacentral:rRNA from 1 species